rnacentral:misc_RNA from 1 species
GCGGCGUUGCGUCCGAAAGUCUAAACAGACACGGCCGCUUAAAAACAAAAGGAGA